GUGAUAUAGAGCAAAACCCUAAAAACGGUCUCAGUUCGGAUUGAAGGCUGAAAUUCGCCUUCAUGAAGCUGGAAUUGCUAGUAAUGGCAGGUCAGCAUACUGCCGUGAAUACGUUCCCGGGCCUUGUACACACCGCCCGUCACACCAUGAGAGUUGGGAAUACCCGAAGCCUGUGAGCUAACUUUUAGAGGCAGCAGUCGAAGGUAGAAUCAAUGAUUGGGGUGAAGUCGUAACAAGGUACC
rnacentral:rRNA from 1 species